UAGCGGCGGAUGGGUGAGUAACGCGUGGGUAACCUACCCUAAAGUUCGGGAUAACAGUUGGAAACGAUUGCUAAUACCGAAUAUUCUCUUUUUGUGGCAUCACAUUAAGAGGAAAGGUUACGCUUUAGGAUGGACCCGCGUCCCAUUAGCUAGUUGGUAAGGUAAUGGCUUACCAAGGCGACGAUGGGUAGCCGGCCUGAGAGGGUGUACGGCCACACUGGGACUGAGACACGGCCCAGACUCCUACGGGAGGCAGCAGUAGGGAAUAUUGCGCAAUGGAGGGAACUCUGACGCAGCGACGCCGCGUGAGCGAUGAAGGUCUUCGGAUCGUAAAGCUCUGUCCUUGGGGAAGAAGGGUGCAUUAUAGCAUCUUGACGGUACCCGAGGAGGAAGCCCCGGCUAACUACGUGCCAGCAGCCGCGGUAAUACGUAGGGGGCAAGCGUUGUCCGGAAUUAUUGGGCGUAAAGGGUGCGUAGGCGGCCUUUUAAGUCAGGUGUGAAAGCCCACGGCUUAACCGUGGGAUUGCAUUUGAAACUGGAAGGCUUGAGUAUCGGAGAGGGUAGUGGAAUUCCCAGUGUAGCGGUGAAAUGCGUAGAUAUUGGGAGGAACACCGGUGGCGAAGGCGGCUUUCUGGACGACAACUGACGCUGAGGCGCGAAAGCGUGGGGAGCAAACAGGAUUAGAUACCCUGGUAGUCCACGCCGUAAACGAUGGAUACUAGGUGUAGGAGGUAUCGACCCCUUCUGUGCCGGAGUUAACACAAUAAGUAUCCCACCUGGGGAGUACGGCCGCACGGCUGAAACUCAAAGGAAUUGACGGGGGCCCGCACAAGCAGUGGAGUAUGUGGUUUAAUUCGAAGCAACGCGAAGAACCUUACCAGGGCUUGACAUACAGACGAAUGGUGUGGAAACACAUCAGACCUUCGGGACGUCUGUACAGGUGGUGCAUGGUUGUCGUCAGCUCGUGUCGUGAGAUGUUGGGUUAAGUCCCGCAACGAGCGCAACCCCUGUUGUUAGUUGCCAUCAUUAAGUUGGGCACUCUAACGAGACUGCCGGUGACAAAUCGGAGGAAGGUGGGGACGACGUCAAAUCAUCAUGCCCCUUAUGUCCUGGGCUACACACGUACUACAAUGGCUAUUACAGCAGGAAGCGAAGGAGUAAUCCGGAGCAGAUCCCAAAAAAUAGUCCCAGUUCGGAUUGUGGGCUGCAACUCGCCCACAUGAAGUCGGAAUUGCUAGUAAUGGCAGGUCAGCAUACUGCCGUGAAUACGUUCCCGGGCCUUGUACACACCGCCCGUCACACCAUGAGAGUCUGCAACACCCGAAGUCAGUAGUCUAAC
rnacentral:rRNA from 1 species